GAUCAUGGCUCAGGAUGAACGCUAGCUACAGGCUUAACACAUGCAAGUCGAGGGGCAUCAGUUUGGUUUGCUUGCAAACCAAAGCUGGCGACCGGCGCACGGGUGAGUAACACGUAUCCAACCUGCCUCAUACUCGGGGAUAGCCUUUCGAAAGAAAGAUUAAUAUCCGAUAGCAUAUAUUUCCCGCAUGGGUUUUAUAUUUAAAGAAUUUCGGUUAUCGAUGGGGAUGCGUUCCAUUAGG
rnacentral:rRNA from 1 species